UCAAAAACAUAGCCUUUAGCCCCACAAGUAUUAAAGGUCCCGCCUGCCCAGUGACUCUUUAAACGGCCGCGGUAUCCUAACCGUGCAAAGGUAGCAUAAUCACUUGUCCCUUAAAUAGGGACUGGAAUGAACGGCUAAAUGAGGAUUAAACUGUCUCUUGCGAGCCGGUCAAUGAAUUUGAUUUUCCAGUUCAAAAGCUGGAAUAAACACAUAAGACGAGAAGACCCUGUGGAGCUUCAAAACCUAGUUCACCAAAUAAUGCUUCCUUCGGUUUUUAGUUGGGGCGACUUCGGAGCACAAAAAAACCUCCAAAACAUGUAAACCCACUAUAUUAAGAUCAACAAACCACAAAACCACAAGAUCCAGCAACAGCCCUUAAUGUUGUCUGACCAAUGAACCAAGUUACCCCAGGGAUAACAGCGCCAUCCCCUUCUAGAGUCCCUAUCGACAAGGGGGUUUACCACCUCGAUGUUGGAUCAGGACACCCCAAUGGUGCAGCCGCCACUAAAGGUUCGUUUGUUCAACGAUUAAAGUCCUA
rnacentral:rRNA from 1 species